UACAGAGGGGGCAAGCGUUGUUCGGAAUUACUGGGCGUAAAGCGCGCGUAGGUGGCCAUUUAAGUCCGCUGUGAAAGUCAAAGGCUCAACCUUUGAAAGCCGGUGGAUACUGGAUGGCUAGAGUACGGAAGAGGCGAGUGGAAUUCCUGGUGUAGCGGUGGAAUGCGCAGAUAUCAGGAGGAACACCAAUAGCGAAGGCAGCUCGCUGGGACGUUACUGACACUGAGGCGCGAAAGCGUGGGGAGCGAACAGG
rnacentral:rRNA from 1 species